GACGAACGCGGCGGCGUGCCUAAUACAUGCAAGUGGGACGCAAGGGAACACACUGUGCUUGCACACCGUGUUUUCUUGAGUCGCGAACGGGUGAGUAACGCGUAGGUAACCUGCCUAUUAGCGGGGGAUAACUAUUGGAAACGAUAGCUAAUACCGCAUAAUAUUAAUUAUUGCAUGAUAAUUGAUUGAAAGAUGCAAGCGCAUCACUAGUAGAUGGACCUGCGUUGUAUUAGCUAGUUGGUAAGGUAAGAGCUUACCAAGGCGACGAUACAUAGCCGACCUGAGAGGGUGAUCGGCCACACUGGGACUGAGACACGGCCCAGACUCCUACGGGAGGCAGCAGUAGGGAAUCUUCGGCAAUGGACGAAAGUCUGACCGAGCAACGCCGCGUGAGUGAAGAAGGUUUUCGGAUCGUAAAGCUCUGUUGUAAGUCAAGAACGUGUGUGAGAGUGGAAAGUUCACACAGUGACGGAGCUACCAGAAAGGCGC
rnacentral:rRNA from 1 species